GAUUAAAUAUCAAUUUAGUGUUAAUUAAAAAAAAAAAAAAGAAAAUGAAACUGGAAACUUGCUAUUGCAUAUUAAAGUGACUUUUUAUGAAACAAAGCUAAAGUUAAGGGAUUUUAUUUUAACAAAUUAAAGUUGAAUGACUGAAAUGAAAUAACCACCUAAGUUGAGGGACGGUACAAUUCACCCACUUUUCCCCUUCUUUUUAGCUGCUUCUUUCUCCUUUUUUUUUCCUUUUCCGAGGCGG
rnacentral:misc_RNA from 1 species